rnacentral:sRNA from 1 species
AGUCGCCCAGCCGCCUGGCCAAGUCCUACAGCACCAGCUCGCCCAUCAACAUCGUCGUGUCCUCGGCCGGCCUGUCCCCGAUCCGCGUGACCUCGCCCCCCACCGUGCAGUCCACCAUCUCCUCCUCGCCCAUCCACCAGCUGAGCUCCACCAUCGGCACGUACGCCACCCUGUCGCCCACCAAGCGCCUGGUCCACGCGUCCGAGCAGUACAGCAAGCACUCGCAGGAGCUGUAUGCCACGGCCACCCUCCAGAGGCCGGGCAGCCUGGCAGCUGGGUCCCGAGCCUCAUACAGCAGCCAGCAUGGGCACCUGGGCCCAGAGCUGCGGGCCCUGCAGUCCCCAGAACACCACAUAGAUCCCAUCUACGAAGACCGCGUCUAUCAGAAGCCCCCUAUGAGGAGUCUCAGCCAGAGCCAGGGGGACCCUCUGCCGCCAGCACACACUGGCACCUACCGCACGAGCACAGGUGUGUAAUCAGGACCCCACUGGGUGGCCUGUCCACAGGGGGUGGGCUCUGUGUGGGAGCUUCAGUAACACUCCCAAAUGAAAGAUGUGUGUCUGUGU